GGAAGCAAAAGUCGUAACAAGGUUUCCGUAGGUGAACCUGCGGAAGGAUCAUUAAUGAGUUGUCAUGGGGUUCGAUGCUGGCAGCCAAUUUUUGGAUGCAUGUGCUUGCCCCAACAAUCAUCUUCCAAACACCUGUGCACAUUUUUGAGGGAGCCUUGAGUUGGUUGCCGCUCUUGGGUGAUUUUCUCACAUUCCCUUAAAUCAUUAUACGCUAUUAACAAUGUUGAACGUGCUCUGUGCCGCAAGGCUAUUAAUAUAAUACAACUUUUAACAACGGAUCUCUUGGCUCUC
rnacentral:misc_RNA from 1 species